rnacentral:rRNA from 1 species
CCACGCCCGCCUCAACGAACUACAAAUAGAAUUGGACCGGGGGCCCGCACAAGACGGAGGAACAUGUGGUUUAAUUCGAUGAUACGCGAGGAACCUUACCUGGGCUAGAACGCAUUCGGAAUCAGGCCGAAAGGCCUGCGCCAGCGAUGGCCGCUUGCGAGGUGCUGCAUGGUUGUCGUCAGCUCGUGCCGUGAGGUGUCGGGUUAAGUCCCAUAACGAGCGCAACCCCUACUGCUAGUUGCCAGCGGGUCAUGCCGGGGACUCUAGCGGAACUGCCAGCGUAAGCUGCGAGGAAGGUGGGGAUGACGUCAAAUCAGCACGGCCCUUACGUCCAGGGCUACACACGUGUUACAAUGGCCGGUACAGAGGGCAGCCACCCCGCGAGGGGGCGCGAAUCCCGAAAGCCGGUCCCAGUUCGGAUCGGAGUCUGCAACCCGACUCCGUGAAGCUGGAUUCGCUAGUAAUCGCGCAUCAGCCACGGCGCGGUGAAUACGUUCCCGGGCCUU